CCCCUGUCACUCUCUCUAUAUAUCUCAUUGUACAGGAGACGUCUUCUACUUUGUAUCUGACACUCCACAAACAUCAAGAUGCUUUCUCACAGUUAUCUGCUGGCUGUCAUCUUCAUUUCUAUUCAGGGAUCCUGUGGACAGAUUGUGAUGACUCAGGCUCCGGAUUCUCUCUCUGUGUCCCCGGGACAGACAGUCAUCAUCACAUGUACAUCCAGUAGCACCUUAACUAGUGGUUAUAGCCAUCUAGCCUGGUACCAACAGAAAACCCAACAACCUCCAAAGCUUCUUAUAUAUUUGGCCAGCACUCGGCAAUCUGGGAUCCCAGACAGGUUCAGUGGUUCAGGAUCUGGGACUCAAUACAAGUUAACAAUUACUGGAGUGACUGAAGAUGAUGAAGCAGAUUAUUACUGUCAGCAGUAUCUCUCCUACCCUCUCACACAGUGA